AAUCUUUCACAAUGGGCGAAAGCCUGAUGGAGCAAUGCCGCGUGCAGGACGAAGGCCUUCGGGUUGUAAACUGCUUUUAUAAGCGAGGAAUAUGACGGUAACUUAUGAAUAAGGAUCGGCUAACUACGUGCCAGCAGCCGCGGUCAUACGUAGGAUCCGAGCAUUAUCCGGAGUGACUGGGCGUAAAGAGUUGCGUAGGUGGAUGUUUAAGUAGAUAGUGAAAUCUGGUGGCUCAACCAUUCAGACUGUUAUCUAAACUGGACAUCUCGAGAGCGUCAAGGGUAACUGGAAUUUCUAGUGUAGGAGUGAAAUCCAUAGAUAUUAGAAGGAACACCGAUAGCGUAGGCAGGUUACUGGGGCGUUUCUGACACUAAGGCACGAAAGCGUAGGGAGCAAACG
rnacentral:rRNA from 1 species